rnacentral:rRNA from 1 species
CCUACGGGAGGCAGCAGUGGGGAAUAUUGGGCAAUGGGCGCAAGCCUGACCCAGCAACGCCGCGUGAAGGAAGAAGGCUUUCGGGUUGUAAACUUCUUUUCUCAGGGACGAAGCAAGUGACGGUACCUGAGGAAUAAGCCACGGCUAACUACGUGCCAGCAGCCGCGGUAAUACGUAGGUGGCAAGCGUUAUCCGGAUUUACUGGGUGUAAAGGGCGUGUAGGCGGGAAAGCAAGUCAGAUGUGAAAACCAUGGGCUCAACCUGUGGCUUGCAUUUGAAACUGUUUUUCUUGAGUACUGGAGAGGCAGACGGAAUUCCUGGUGUAGCGGUGAAAUGCUUAGAUAUUACGAGGAACACCAGUUGCGAAGGCAGCUUACUAAACUGUGACUGACAUUGAUGCUCGAAAGUGUGGGUAUCAAACAGGAUUAGAUACCCGAGUAGUC